CGUGUAGGCGGUCAGGUAAGUGGGACGUGAAAUGCCUCGGCUCACCCGAGGAGCUGCGUCCCAAACUGCUUGGCUUGAGUAUGGGAGAGGAUGUGGGAAUUCCUGGUGUAGCGGUGAAAUGCGUAGAUAUCAGGAGGAACACCGGUGGCGAAGGCGCACAUCUGGCCCAAUACUGACGCUGAGGCGCGAAGCUAGGGAGCAAACG
rnacentral:rRNA from 1 species